rnacentral:rRNA from 1 species
AAUGAGCGUUGGCGGCGUGGAUUAGGCAUGCAAGUCGUACGGGUCGGUGUAGCAAUACAACGGCAAGUGGCGAAAGGGAGAGUAACGCGUAGAUACCUACCCUCUGGUCGGGGAUACCGCGGCAUAACCGCAAGUAAUACCCGAUAAUAUCUCCGGAUCAAAGGUGUGAUUCCGCCGGAGGAGGGGUCUGCGUUUCGUCAGCUUGUUGGUGAGGUAACGGCUCACCAAGGCUAAGACGAAUACGGGGUGUGAGAGCAUGCCCCCGCUCACUGGGACUGAGACACUGCCCAGACACCUACGGGUGGCUGCAGUCGAGAAUCUUCGGCAAUGGGCGCAAGCCUGACCGAGCGACGCCGCGUGCGGGAUGAAGGCCUUCGGGUUGUAAACCGCUGUCGAGGGGGAUAAAGUGCAGGUGGGUUCUCCCAUUUGUUUGAUAGAUCCCUGGAGGAAGCAUGGGCUAAGUUCGUGCCAGCCGCCGCUGUAAAAC